rnacentral:rRNA from 2 species
AUGCGAUACUUGGUGUGAAUUGCAGAAUCCCGUGAACCAUCGAGUCUUUGAACGCAAGUUGCGCCCGAUGCCAUUAGGUUGAGGGCACGUCUGCCUGGGUGUCACAU